AUUGAACGCUGGCGGAAUGCCUUACACAUGCAAGUCGAACGGCAGCACGGGGGCAACCCUGGUGGCGAGUGGCGAACGGGUGAGUAAUACAUCGGAACGUGCCCAGUCGUGGGGGAUAACGUAGCGAAAGUUACGCUAAUACCGCAUACGAACUACGGAUGAAAGCGGGGGACCGUAAGGCAUCGCGCGAUUGGAGCGGCCGAUGGCAGAUUAGGUAGUUGGUGGGGUAAAGGCUCACCUAGCCGACGAUCUGUAGCUGGUCUGAGAGGACGACCAGCCACACUGGGACUGAGACACGGCCCAGACUCCUACGGGAGGCAGCAGUGGGGAAUUUUGGACAAUGGGCGCAAGCCUGAUCCAGCCAUUCCGCGUGCAGGACGAAGGCCUUCGGGUUGUAAACUGCUUUUGUACGGAACGAAAAGGCUCUGGUUAAUACCUGGGGCUCAUGACGGUACCGUAAGAAUAAGCACCGGCUAACUACGUGCCAGCCGCCGCAGUAA
rnacentral:rRNA from 1 species